AAUAAAGUGCCUGAUUAAAGGGUUGUCUUGAUAGGGCAAAUAAUGUGCAUAUUCCACCUUUAUUA
rnacentral:tRNA from 1 species